AGUACAUAUACAAAAUGAAAAUAUACUUGAAAAUUCAAUUUAAAUUAACAUAUCCAGGUACUGGUCCUUCGAUAUUUAUCGACACCGUCGUUAGGCUUAUUGGCUCUGAAAGGGCCUUUUGUUACACUAACCGUGUUUGGUACAGGAUUGGCCGACGGGAAUCCGUUACUUUCCGUAGACCGUACGCCAAUUGCUAUUAUCGCCGUCACCAGCCAGGGACACCGCUUGGAGGUUCCUACGAUGCCUCCAAUAGGAGGAUAUAUUAUACAAUGUUCCCUCCUAUAUGAAAAAUAUAAAAUUAACUCUUCUUCACUGAGCUAUGUAUAUA